rnacentral:rRNA from 1 species
UACAGAGGCCUCGAGCGUUAGGCGGAAUCACUGGGCUUAAAGCGUGUGUAGGUGGAUGCCUAAGUGCCUUGUGAAAUCCCACGGCUUAACCGUGGAACUGCUGGGUAUACUGGCGAUCUUGAGCCACCUAGGGGCAACCGGAACAAAUGGUGGAGCGGUGAAAUGCGUAGAUAUCAUUUGGAACGCCAAUGGUGAAAACAGGUUGCUGGGGGUGUGCUGACGCUGAGACACGAAAGCCAGGGGAGCGAACGGG